rnacentral:lncRNA from 1 species
GCAGACAUUCCUAACACCAUCACGGGAUGACUUAGUGGAGUGCCAAAAGAACAAAGAGUAGUCAGUGAGUGGAAAGCAGGAUAGCCCACCCUGGUGAAGCCUGAGUCUCCAUCCCAGAUUCCUCUCAUAUCUCACUCCUUGCUGAUGGGGAAAGGAAGAGACAGACACAAGCCCCGAAACUAGACAUCUUUGUGGAUGAGUUCCAGCCAAAUGAUCAGAGAUAUAAUGUCACCAGGUCUCUCCAGCUUCCACCACAGAGUGUGUUUUACUAUAUAUAAGAGUCUAACCUAACAUUUGAGCCAAAUAAACCUUCUUUCCCA